rnacentral:lncRNA from 1 species
AUAAAACUAGAAAUGACUUUAUUUUGUCCACACGGGCAGACACAUGUGCAUGUGUCUAGACCGUGUGUGACACACGGCCUAAUACAUGGGCGUGUGGUUAGGCCGUGUGUCCCCUGCAUCUUAAAUUUGAGAAACAGAAUGCUCAGAAUUGAGCACAUGGGCAGAGACACGGGGGUGUGUCUCAGCCAUGUGUGUUACACAGCCUAUAACACGGACGUGUAUUUUGGUCGUGUGAACCCUGCACCUAAUUUUUGAAAAUUAAAUUGAUCACAUGGUCUACUCACAUGGGCAUGUGACUAGCCGUG